CCCGUCUUGUUAUUCAUCACUGAAGCAUCCAUAUUAAUAUUAACAAAGCUAUUCAGAGGUUUCUCCCACUUAUAAGCUCUAGGAACCUGAAGAAGAAUCGGCUCAAAAGACAAAUUAUGGAUGCGAAAAUCGUCACUGAGCUUCCGCGCCUUAUCCCACACCAAUCCAGCUUCUUCCUCCACACCUCUAAACACGACAUUAUUCUAACUAUUCCAAAUAUUCCAAAGAGUUGUAAUAAAGUUUUCAAGGCCAGAGAGUUAUAUUCCAAGAAAUGCAAUAUAAAGGGUCAAGAUAGAUCAAUGAUAGGAACAUACAUUUAUGAUAUCCAACAACAAAUAUACGGGCUUGAUAAGAUAAGAUUCCAACAUGCACCAAGAUCGGCAAAUAGUCUAGCACAUAUUCUAGCAACAGAAACGCUAAGGAGAGGAGAAGAAAUAUACCUGGAUAGGGGUGUUCCGGAAUACGCUAGGUGCAAGGCCGAUAUGAGAUGAGAAAGGAACCAGACUAGGAAGUUUUCAGGGGAGGAAGGUUGAAGGUUUGGUAAGCCUUAGAAUAGGAAUGAAUCGGCAUACAUUGAAAAUGGAAUCGUCGAAAUGAAUAGACAUGACAGAAAGAUCAGAGGACAGAUUUCAAAUAGUUUCUGAUUGGGUAAUGGAUCGGUGCACUUAUUGCCGGUUCUAGAAUCAUCUUUUUUAAUAUUUCAAUUUUAUUUAAGGCCAUAUGUUUUUGGGCCGUGUUUUUAGGCUUUGACGUUAGUUUAUUUUGCCAUAGGCUGGUUUUGUUAAGUUUUUGGUUUUUUGUUUUGAACAGUAUUUAUUUAUUUUUAAUAAAAGCCCAA
rnacentral:lncRNA from 1 species